AUGAACACGAUGACGCCUCGAGAGUGAAAGAAAUUGAUCGCCAUAUCAAAAAUAAAUUCCCACGGGAUUGGAUGGAAGGAGAACUCGUGGAUACAAUUGGAAAGAAGGAAGUAGCCGCUCUGUUAAGCGACUUUAUUCGCAAAAUGGAUCAACCUGGUAAAGCAUUGAUUGUGCAGGUGGCGUCAGGAUACUAUUGAUUAUGGAUCAAGAGGUUUCAAGGCGUUGGAAAUUCACGAGAAACGACAAAAAACACGUCAAACAUCGGAAAGCAACGAAAAGGAACUUUUUCCACAGCUGCUCCAUUAAGAUGUCAACCCCAGUUGCAGAAAGGCUCAUCAAUAACCAGCCCAACUUGCAAACACUGUUUUUAGGAGCCUGAGGAACAUAACUACAUACUGACUGAUUCGUCCAUAAACCAUAAUUACGCUGGUGGUCUGGAUGAAUUAAUGGAAUACUACGUGGAAGCUAAGAUUUAUGAUCAGGCUUGUGACUUUUCUCCUGCGGACGUGAGCGUGUUUGAUAUUCGCAGCAAUCUCAGGCAAAUCCUCCUCCGGUCGACUGGAUUCACUCACCUGUUAUAUCGCCCCCGCAUUGGAUUAAAUCAACUUGUUCCCUCGACACCUGCAUUUUUUUUUUUUUUUCCCCCCCGCCCAUGUCUUGUGCGUUGCCUGCAUUGAUUCAGUCUCAUCUUGAUCCGCGUGCGAGCAUUCGCGGGGGAUCUCCUUCCGCGCUAAUGCGACGUCGUAAUGGACUUGUUCCAUCAAAGCGAGGACCCGCCGCGGGCCACACGGCGCCAGGCGUCAAUCGGAGGGGAUUGGGCGGACGCAGUAACGCGGCAGGUUGCUUGAUGAAACGAUGCCCUGGUACGGAGGAAAUUGCAGCGUGUGUUGUUCUUUCCACACACGGCAACCUGCCGAGGAUUACUGCAGAACAGUAAAACCUCCCGCACACUGCAACCGACACCCUGCCACGAACGCUGAUGACUGGCCCACCGCCCGACUCCAGCACCUGGAAUUCCUGGGCGGUCACUUAUCCAAAUACCAACCAGGACCGAACCUGCUUAGCUUCCGAGAUCAGACAGCAUGUGGGGAUUGGGUCAACUACGUACAUGCGUGAAGCACACGGAAUCUGCUCCUCAGCCUACUGCUACUUCCUAGUUUACCUGACACCGCCCCCCUCUGCUCUUAAAGGGGUACACUCAUGAUUACAAACAGAACACACACCCGCAAGUCUAUAUCUGCGGGCAUGACUGACCACACCCGUACAUCUUUUUUUACGGUGCAUCGGAUUCAGGAUCAUACAUGGAGUGCAGGUGGACUUUUAACCCUUUCCGGGCAGGUGUUGCAAAUUUGCCACAGGUUUAAUAUCAUCGAAAAUUUCAACUCCGGAGGAUCAUUUUCUGAAGCCACUUCUUCCGGAGGUAUCCCGAGGCGUUCCCAAGUCUCUCGUCUCUCCAUUCGUGUUCUGGGUCGUCCUCGGGGUCUCUUCCUGGUGGGACAUGCCCGGAUCACCUCACCGUCCGGGAGGCAUCCCAAUCAGAUGCCCCCAGCCACCUCAUCUGGCUCCUCUCGACACUUGACCGAGCUUCUCGCCCGUUCUCUAAGGGAGAUCCCGGACACCCUGCGGGGGAACCUCAUUUCGGCCGCUUGUAUCCGGGAUCUCCUUCUUUCGGUCACGACCCGCAGCUCGUGCCCAUAGGGGAGGGGAGGAACGCAGAUCGACUGCUAAAUUGAGAGCGUCGGCUUUCGACCGCAACGGAUGGAUACAAAAUCCGCAGUUGCGAAAGCUGCCGGAUUUCGAUUUUGGUGUAUUUUGGUCGGAUGUUACGAGCUCACCCAAGAGAGGCAACUGCGAAGCUGCUGCUCCUGUGAGCCUUUGAGAUGAUAAAGUAUUCAUAGAACAUGAUAUGAUAUCAUCACAACGUAUAUAAAACGCAUUCAAUAAUUAAGCAGAGGCGUGCGCUCCAAAGAGUUAGCAUGUUUGGUCCUUAAAUUUGUUACAGUCAGAGGAGUCCUUGUUUUUGUUUCUUUUCUUUCCUCUAAAACCGUAAAAUCAAGACGGCUGCAAAAAUAAUCACGGAUUGAAACGAGCGCUCUGUGCGGUCCCCGAGGGGGGACUCGCGCCUCGGACAACUUCCUGUCGGCGUGUUCAUCAAGAACUCUGGAAAAAAUGGAAAAAAAAAAAAAAAAUGCGACGCCUGCCUGCACUGCAGGGAAUGCUGGGGGUGCACAGAGUACAGGAUGGAUGGAUGAUAAAUGGAAAGAAAGAGGGAUGACAGAAAAGAAAUCCGUCGAUAGAAGAUGUAUGGUUUCAAGUAAAAACAAAAAAAUAUGUGACUUAUUAAAAAAACAAGAUUGAGAUU